CUCUUCCAUCUGUUAUUUCAUCUUUAAGCAGCACUUCGGGGCAUACCUAUAGCAGAUCCACUCCUCCAGAACUGAAUCAUUCCAGGCAACGUCUGAAGGCCAAGGAUGCCGACUGGCCCUGGCAGGGCCUUGCUCCCCUGUCCCAGGCCUGGGAGUGGACAGACGCCUCAGUGCUCACCGGUCCUGGAGUUCCAGUGGAGUGACCGCCCACCGUCUUCCU